CUACCAGCCCCGGCCGAGGGGCAUCAUCCCAUGGAGCCGGCUCCACGGCGCUCCCCCAGGGGACCCACCUGACCGCCCCUCCCGCCGCAGGGCCGUCCCCGGGCUCCCCGCUAGGGCCCAUCCCCAGGCUCCGGUAAUUCAGCUCCACAAGGGAGUUCUUCUCACCCCUCAAGCUGAUUGAAGUCAUGGGCCGUCAGAAACUAAUUGGAAUGAAUGGAGAUGUUAAAUGUCAGAGAAACACUUCAUCAGGGGGCACAGGUUUGGGAGACCUCCCUACUCCCAAAAAGUAGCUGAAGCAGGUCCUGGAGUUAUUCAUGGAGGAAGUCCCAAGAACACAAAAUUGGAGAAGGAGAGGAGUAUAACAAGAACAGACCAUUUCUCCCUCCCAAUAACUAGGAAUCCCUGAGGGACAGAAAGUAGCAAAACCCAGUCCUCCAUCCUUGUAGCAGGCAAGGAAACCCUGGAUGUAGGAGAGAAGGCAGAAAACUCCUUCUCCCUUCCAGCACAGAGAGGGAGGAACCGCCCACCUGUGAAAGCCUCAUUUAAAGACACAGCUUGUAGCUGAUUGGAGGAUGCUUGACUAAAGGUCAUCAUGGGAAAUGUAGUCCUAAACUGGAAGCUAAAGCUUGAGAUGGUGGUAUAAGGAAACAGAACCUUAAUAUGAACAGUAACUAAUAAAACUGGAGGCAAAUGAAAUAUGGAUCACUAGGAAGGAAUCUAUGAGCUAUACAGUCUGAAGUAGCCUUGAAAAUAACUUGACCUGAGAGAUGCUCAUAUGUAACUUUUCUGAAUGCUGGUGAGAUGAAAGAAUUCUCUGAACUGUUGAGAUUGCUAGCGUCCAGUUCAAAUGCUCGGGAGUGUACCCAACUGACUCUGUUAAGACUGCUGAUGAAAACCGAGCUACAUCAAUCAUGAGAGAGCUGAAGAAGCACCCAUCCUGCCUUUACCUGCUUCCUGGGAAGGUUCUGCUUUUGAAUUCAACCAGUCUCAAAGGUCCUACGCACCAGCCAGGCUGGAAGUGUCAUCUGUCUCAAAAGGGCCUAAAUAUUAAACUUGAUUGGACAUCAAAGGAAACACACUCAAUUCUGAACAGCAGUCAGGAAGUCUGAUCAACCCGAAGGACAUUGUGUAAACUUACAAUCACCACAAGGUCUUACCCCGUUGGGGAAAAAUACGGUAACCAGUCAAGCUUUGAAUAAAGGUUUCAACAAAGACCUAAGUAUAAUAGCCAGAAGGCAGAGUGGGGUUCUGAGUUUAACAGCAAAGUGGAUAUUGACUGAACCAAAUUUUGUUAUCAAUUAAAUGAAUCUUUCUAUUCAGCCAGAAAGAUCCAGGUAGAAUGGGAUUUAGGUGUUUUGUUACCUGGCAGUUCAUUCCUUUUCUUUACAGGAGGAAACUGGGACUAUCAUAAUAAGGAUUUAAUUUACAUAAAUAUAAAUGUAUGCAUAGGAAUAAGCAAACAACUCUUAUGUGAUUAUUUUAAGCAUUGCCCUUCUUUUGUUAUUUUAUUUAUUUCCUGUCUUUUUCUUUGUCCAUUUUAAUAAUCUUCUGCAUAGAGACACAUCAUUGCAUUGUAUGAAUGAGUGGGAGGAAAUGUGAUGUAGGGCUACAGUCUACGAUGGGUGGGUUGAGUUUGUCUAGUGGGUUAAGUAGAGUUUGUCUAGUAGAUUAGAGAGUUUGGACACAGGGUUCUAUUCCUGGCUCUUCCACUGACUCAUUUAGAGACUUUAAUCAAGUCACUUCACAUCUCUGUGCAUCAUUUAUACCAUCUGUGAUAUGGGGAUAAAAAUUAGGGCUAGGUGAAAUCGUUGUCAAUUGUUUUUUGGCAGAAAUUUUCACCUAUUUGUUUUGCUAAGAUUUCAAGUCCCUCAAAUUAUUUUGCAGGUUGGCUUGCAAAAUCCACUCCCAGCUUGAACUGUCAAGCUUUCAAAACUUCAGAUGACUGGCUGUACCAUAGCUGUUAUCUCUGGCAGCUUUGAGUUGUGGAGAGAAGACAAUAGAAACAGGCAUCAGGAACACACACAUUUGUAAUAUAUUAUAUGAAGUACAUAGACAAACUUAUCAUGCCAGGCAGGGACGGUAGCAGCUGAGGAGUAUAUUUAGAUUGUAAAUUCAUUUGGGCAGGGACUCUUACUAUAUGUACAGUACUUAAAACAAUGGGGCCCUCAACUCAGUUGUGGCCUCCAAGUGCUACCAUAAUACAAAUAACUUGGCAUUGGGAUCUGCACUGGAUCCUGCACUCUUAGAUGACUCACUCUGUUGACCAGUCAGGGUGAAAGGCAAAGCUAAACCAUCAGCAGCCAAAAGGUGUGACAGCAAGUGCCAAGUCUUUCCACUGAGUGGUAUCGGGGGUGACCCAUAGAAGAGCAAUCUCCCAGGGCUUUGUGACUGCCUUCUCCUAAAACCCACCAGGUUCUGUGGGAGGUGGAUCAGGCACGAGAGGACUGUGAGCUUCUCACUAGUGAGGUGACUGAGUCUGAAUCAAUGCCCUACAACUAAUUGCCUUACGCAUUCACAGCUUCCCUUCUCAAAGGAAGGGAAAACAUUAUAAAAAUACUCAAGCAACCUCU